rnacentral:lncRNA from 1 species
CUGGUCCUCACGGGUUCCAGCCGAGGGUUGUAGCCGCUGCUCCCCACACCCCCAUUCCUGAGCGGGCCGCAGGGGGCGCGGCCCACCUCGGCUGAGUCCGGGGCACGAACUGAUGCUCUCCCUUCCCUGGGGAUGUGCAGAGGGGAUCCGAAGGAAUGGAACCGGCUGCACCCAGCAGAACCAGGAUGGCUGCAAUGAGCAAGACAAUAGCAAGUGUUGUGUAAGCCGUGACGGAACCUGAGCACUUGCUCUCUACAGAUGCUGCAGAAAACGGUUUGGCAGCUCUUCAAAAACGUCACAUAUAAGGUUAUCAUACAGCCCUGGGAUUCCUUAUCUAGG